GCGCUAUAUAAGCGAGUACGCGCAGUCUCCGAUAACACAGCAUUGUCUCAGCUGCCCCCGCACAUUACGCCAACAGGACUUACAGCCAUGUUCUCACUGAACACCAAGUCCUUCCUCCUGGCUCUUCUGGUUAUGGCUGUUCUCUGCAGCCUGGCAGCUGCUCAGUUCGGCUACGGACGAGGAUUCGGACGUGGCUAUGGCGGAUAUGGCGGCUACGGCCGAGGCUUCGGUGGUGGAUAUGGCCGAGGCUUCGGCGGUGGAUACGGUCGCGGCUACGGUGGAUAUGGCCGCGGAUUUUACGGCUGACAGGGAAAAGCCGGAUGAUGCUUCAAGACGAAUCAGUGCCAAAAACAGCAGAGAUCUGACGUCUGCGUCCAGUCGCCUAUUCAAACGAAUAAACCAUUUAUAAAGGUUUCGCAAAA